ACGGCGAGUGAAGAGGGAAAAGCCCAAAUUUGUAAUCUGGCUCUUUCACGAGGGUCCGAGUUGUAAUUUUGAGAACUGUUUUCUGUGCUGGACCAUUUCUAAGUCUGUUGRAAAAUAGCAUCAUAGAGGGUGAUAAUCCCGUUUAUGAUAUGGACUACCAGGGCUAUAUGAUACAGUUUCUAAGAGUCGAGUUGUUUGGGAAUGCAGCUCAAAGUGGGUGGUAAAUUCCAUCUAAGGCUAAAUAUAGGUGAGAGACCGAUAGCAUACAAGUACCGUGAGGGAAAGAUGAAAAGAACUUUGGAAAGAGAGUUAACAGUACGUGAAAUUGUUGUAAAGGAAACAUUUAAACUUAUCGUUGUGCUUGUCAGUUCAGCCCUCUUAUCAGGGUGUAUUCUGGCAAAUCACGGGCCAACAUCAGUUUUUGAGUGCUGGAUAAGGGUCUUGGGAAUGUAGCAGUCUAGGCUGUGUUAUAGCCCAGGAUUUAGAUACAGUGCUUAGGACUGAGAAAAAUUUGCAGCAAGC
rnacentral:rRNA from 1 species